rnacentral:ncRNA from 1 species
GCAGAGUAGGCGUAUUGCGUUAAGUGCCGCAGAAUGGGAUGUCGUUUGCGGACGAAAGGUAAGUUUAUUACCUGCGGUAAUGCGCCGCGUCCGUUG